CAGGGGUGUCACAGGAGCAGGCGGCCUGGACUGGCCUGGUGCUGUGGCUGGUGAGGCAGGCCCCCAUUCGUGUGCUCCUUCCACGUGGAACUCCAGCCGGUCAAGUCCUAGCCUGCCUGCAAGAGAAGACACACAUUCUCCUUCCUCCGUGGAGCCUCCUCUGACCCCUUCAUGCCUCCUCCCUGGGCCCCAAGCAUAGUAGGUGCUUGGUUGUUACUCUGAAGGGCAGCAACCUACCCAGGAGAGGCAGCAGCUGUUUCAACAUGUGCUCACUUUCCUCUUUCUAGAAGAUUAAUACUUGAGAUCAGCUAUUUCCUCUUCUCCACAGGUAAGUGACUAUUAAUAGAGGUCCUUUUAAGAUUCUUG